CAGAGUGUAGCUAAAUAGGAAAGCAUCUCCCUUACACCGAGAAGACACCCGUGCAAAUCCGGUCCCUCUGA
rnacentral:tRNA from 1 species